AUCCUCGCCGACUAUAGAACGAUUUGCAGCACAAGCACACAAUUGUUAAGCUCCGGGAAUUAUAGCUGCAAGGGCGUUCAAGAGAAUGGACAAUAUACGCCGACUUCACUCUUUUUCGAGCACUUGCUGCCUGUCUUUCAAAAACUAAUAACCCUCGUCGCCCGGUGCACCAUUACGACGACUAAGGAUCUACAACAUCGUCUCUCUUCUCGUCUUCGUAUAGAUUCAUUGGUGGAGUCUUGCUUUGCCCGAAACAGCAACUAUGGAGAAGAAAUUCGCCGCUCGCUCGUCCUGGCACUGAUAGCCAUCGGUCUUCUGGCAAGCCUUACACCGGAGAACGGAGGAUGUGACGAUCUCCUGGCCGCUCCCUCACCUUCAUCGUGGGUGGAAGUGCUGCUUAGCUCCAACCCGGACCUGCAACUCCGAGCCGUGGAGCGAGCCGAAGAGGUCGCCGUCACGCAUUGCCUGGUGGUCAUCUGGCCUUCCUGACGGGCCCAUGGAUUUGCUUCCCACUCAGAGGAUGUGACGAUCUCCUGGCCGCUCCCUCACCUUCAUCGUGGGUGGAAGUGCUGCUUAGCUCCAGCCCGGACCUGCAACUCCGAGCCGUGGAGCGAGCCGAAGAGGUCGC